CUGCGGGCUGCGUCAACCGGGCCUGGUGGUACGGUGAACAGGAUGUCUUUUUCCCGGUUUCUCAUCCUGGCCAACGAAACGGCAGACGAGCAUCUGUCCCACCCGGCCC
rfam:Mesorhizobium ciceri biovar biserrulae WSM1271, complete genome.